GAGAGAGACAUGCGCGCAUAUCAAUAAGCGGAGGAAAAGAAACUAACAAGGAUUCCCUUAGUAACGGCGAGUGAAGCGGGAAGAGCUCAAAUUUGAAAUCUUCAAGGUUUUACCUUGACGAAUUGUAGUUUAAAGAAGUGUUUUCUGCUGAAGUUUUGGUAAAAGUUCUUUGGAAUAGGACAUCAUAGAGGGUGAGAAUCCCGUAUUUGACCAUUAUUUUCAGCUUUGUGAUACACUUUCAAAGAGUCGGAUUGUUUGGGAAUGCAGUCCAAAAUGGGUGGUAAAUUUCAUCUAAAGCUAAAUAUUGGCGAGAGACCGAUAGCGAACAAGUACCGUGAGGGAAGGAUGAAAAGAACUUUGAAAAGAGAGUUAAACAGUACGUGAAAUUGUCAAAAGGGAAGCGUUUGACACCAGUGUUGUUUUCUCGAAAAUCAAUUAAAAAUGGCUCGAUUUUGUAUUGCUUGAGACCUUAAAAGCUCACUGUACAUUUUUCGUGUCUUUUUUAAUGCACUUUUCGUUUAACAAGUCAACAUCAGUUUCUUUUGUUGUAAAAGGGUCAUUGGAAGGUGGCUUUCUUUUCGGAGAAAGUGUUUAUAGCCUUUGGCCUCUGCAAUCGAAGAGACUGAGGUCUGCAGCGUAGACUCUUCGGGGUUAGAUACAUUUGUGCUAAGUUAUAGCUUUUUAUAGACAACUUGUUGACUAUAAUUAGUCUUGUAGCUUACUCGCUUAUGCUAUUUUACCUACGCUUAGGAUGUUGAAGAUGUAGCACAUCAU
rnacentral:rRNA from 1 species